CAACCCGCUGGGAGGUGUAACAGCAACGAUAACAACAGCAGAAACAACAACAGCAGCAGUAGAGGCGCCGUUCCACGUGUGCACACCCAAGGACAAAGACGCCUCGCUGGGGAUGAGUGAGUGGAGUUUGUGUGGACCAUCUUCAGAGUCAGUGGAGGAGGCUCGUGAAGGACGCUGCUACUGGGCAGUUUGAGGCAGUCGCCCUCCUGCAACAACGGAGUGCAGAGGAGCGGCAGCAGGCUCAGUUUGCUCCCCGCACGGCCACCGUCGCUCGGGAACGAGGAGAGCGACCGAAGAGCUCCGAUGGAGCGGGAAGGGAGAGGAGAGCGAGGAGGGAAAAGAAGUCAGGGCAGAGAGGAGGAGCCUCAAAUUACGGAAGAGCAAGAAGGGAGAGAUGACGGACAUCAAGACGCCCAGAGGGGAGAGCGUGCAGUGAGGUGGGCCGAGGGCAAGAGGGAGGAGCAGAGGCAGGACGC